UGUAUGUGUAAAGACAUAUAUGAGGGUAUGCACGUAAGUAAAGUUGUAGGAAAGGCAUGUGUGUAUGUAGAUGUGUAUGUAUGUUUGUAUGUAAGUACGUAUGCAUGCAUGAAUUGAUAUGUUCGAAUUUUUACGUUACUAAUUAUGCGUUUGAGGUCGGUAUGUAAUGCAGGAAUGAGUACAUCGGAUUCUUAUGAAAUUUAAGCCCAACCCGGAAUAAGAGGAUGAGUGAUACACGGACUUCUUCUGCUACUUAGGAGGUGAAGCGGACGUAAAUCGAGUCAAGAGCAAGGAUUGCACGGAUAGAUCGACCAUAUAGUUGAAAUAUGUAACGUCUAGAAAUGUGAAAUUUUAGUAUGAAUGUUGUGAAUUCUUUUAUAGAACGUUUAACAUUUUAGCUUUUGGAACCUUCUCGAAAGUAAUGUCGUUAAUAAGGAAGGAAAUUUUUAAAGCUC